rnacentral:rRNA from 1 species
AGAUUGAACGCUGGCGGCAUGCCUUACACAUGCAAGUCGAACGGUAACAGGUCUUCGGAUGCUGACGAGUGGCGAACGGGUGAGUAAUGCAUCGGAACGUGCCCAGUAGUGGGGGAUAGCCCGGCGAAAGCCGGAUUAAUACCGCAUACGACCUGAGGGUGAAAGGGGGGGAUCGCAAGACCUCUCGCUAUUGGAGCGGCCGAUGUCAGAUUAGCUAGUUGGUGGGGUAAAGGCCUACCAAGGCAACGAUCUGUAGUUGGUCUGAGAGGACGACCUGCCACACUGGGACUGAGACACGGCCCAGACUCCUACGGGAGGCAGCAGUGGGGAAUUUUGGACAAUGGGCGCAAGCCUGAUCCAGCAAUGCCGCGUGCAGGAAGAAGGCCUUCGGGUUGUAAACUGCUUUUGU